GCUGGCGGCAGGCUUAACACAUGCAAGUCGAGCGCCCUCUUCGGAGGGAGCGGCGGACGGGUUAGUAACGCGUGGGAACGUGCCUUUCGCUACGGAAUAGCCCAGGGAAACUUGGAUUAAUACCGUAUACGCCCUUUUGGGGAAAGAUUUAUCGGCGAGAGAUCGGCCCGCGUUGGAUUAGGUAGUUGGUGGGGUAAUGGCCUACCAAGCCGACGAUCCAUAGCUGGUUUGAGAGGAUGAUCAGCAACACUGGGACUGAGACACGGCCCAGACUCCUACGGGAGGCAGCAGUGGGGAAUCUUGGACAAUGGGGGCAACCCUGAUCCAGCCAUGCCGCGUGGACGAUGAAGGCCUUAGGGUUGUAAAGUCCUUUCGCUAGGGAAGAUAAUGACGGUACCUAGUAAAGAAGUCCCGGCUAACUCCGUACCAGCAGCCGCGGUAAUACGGAGGGGACUAGCGUUGUUCGGAAUUACUGGGCGUAAAGCGCACGUAGGCGGAUUGAUCAGUCAGGGGUGAAAUCCCGGG
rnacentral:rRNA from 1 species